rnacentral:tRNA from 1 species
GCCCAGGUGGUGAAAUUGGUAGACACGCGGGUCUUAGAAGCCCGUGCCGUAAGGUGUGUAGGUUCAAGUCCUAUCCUGGGCACCA